CGGGAAGAGCUCAAAUUUGAAAUCUGGCAGUCUUCGAUUGUCCGAGUUGUAAUCUAUAGAGGCGUUUUCCGUGCCGGACCGUGUCCAAGUCUCCUGGAAAGGAGUAUCAAAGAGGGUGAUAAUCCCGUACUUAACACGACCACCGGUGCUCUGUGAUACGUCUUCUACGAGUCGAGUUGUUUGGGAAUGCAGCUCAAAAUGGGUGGUGAAUUCCAUCUAAAGCUAAAUAUUGGCGAGAGACCGAUAGCGAACAAGUACCGUGAGGGAAAGAUGAAAAGCACUUUGGAAAGAGAGUUAAACAGUACGUGAAAUUGUUGAAAGGGAAACGAUUGAAGUCAGUCGUGUUCUUUGGAUUCAGCCAGUUCUGCUGGUCUACUUCCUUGGAACGGGUCAACAUCAGUUUUGUCCGGUGGAUAAAGGUAGUAGGAAUGUGACUUCUCCGGAAGUGUUAUAGCCUAUUAUCACAUACACUGGGUGAGACUGAGGACUGCAGCUCGCCUUUAUGGCCGGCCUUCGGGCACGUUCGAGCU
rnacentral:rRNA from 1 species